GACAAGAAAUAUUGAUAUUGGACCCAAAGGGUACAAUGAUUGAAAUGAGAACAAUAUAAAAAACUUAACGACUAACAAUUGGAGGGCAAGUCUGGUGCCAGCAGCCGCGGUAAUUCCAGCUCCAAGAGUGUAUAUUAAAGUUGUUGCGGUUAAAAAGCUCGUAGUUGAAUUUCUGAAAAUAAUCUUGUGAUUGAUUUAACCGUCAUGAACAAAAAUUGUUUACAUACUUGAUAGAUGGAAACAUUUAUCUUAAUGACUUUGAAAAAAUUAGAGUGUUCAAAGCAUGAUUCACAUUUGAAUAAUACAGCAUGGGAUAAUAUAAUAUGACAUUAGUUAAAAUUUGUUGGUUUCUUUGGCUAAUGUAAUGAUUAAAAGGGACAGUUGGAGUAAUUUAUAUUGGUUGGGGAGGGGUGAAAUCCUAUGAUCCUUCCAAGAUAAACUAGUGCGAAAGCAUUUUACUAGGAUGUUUUCAUUAAUCAAGAACGAAAGUUGGGGGGAUCGAAGAUGAUCAGAUACCGUCGUAGUCUCAACC
rnacentral:rRNA from 1 species